rnacentral:rRNA from 1 species
UACGUAGGGUGCAAGCGUUAAUCGGAAUUACUGGGCGUAAAGCGUGCGCAGGCGGUUUUGUAAGUCUGUCGUGAAAUCCCCGGGCUCAACCUGGGAACUGCAUCCAAAACUGGCAAGCUAGAGUAGGGCAGAGGGUGGUGGAAUUUCCUGUGUAGCGGUGAAAUGCGUAGAUAUCAAGCGGAACACCGGUGGCGAAGGCGGCCUUCUGGACAGUGACUGACGCUGAGACGCGAAAGCGUGGGGAGCAAACAGG